CUGGGAGUUGUAGUCCGGCGCGCUGCUGCCCAAGAUGGCGGACCGGCGGCGGCAACGCGCCUCGCAGGACAGCGAGGACGAUUCGGAUUCCGCCGCCUCCGACAGCGGCGAUUCGGCCGCCAGCGCUGCCCGUUCCCGUUCGGCAUCCGGAUCGCAAUCCGGUUCGCCUCACCGACCGCCUCGGCGGGGCUCGGCCGGGGCCCUCGGAACGGGGCCUCGGGGCCGCGGGGCCGAGAGCGCGGCCGGGGGAGCGGCCAAGAGCCAGGCCGAGUCCGAGUGUGAAAGCGAGGAUGGCAUUGAAGGAGAUGCUGUGCUCUCAGAUUAUGAAAGCGCUGAAGACUCAGAGGCCGAGGAAGAGGAUUACAGCGAGGAAGAAAGUGCCAAAGUGGAACUGAAGCAGGAUAGUAAUGGUUCCUGUGAGUCAGCGGCAAAAGCAGAGAAAGGGGAUGAGAAACCCGACUCCAAAGGCGCGGUGACUGGCGAGAGGCAAAGCGGCGAUGGGCAGGAGAGCACUGAGCCUGUUGAGAAUAAAGUGGGGAAAAAGGUUCCCAAGCACCUGGAUGAUGACGAGGAUCGGAAGAACCCAGCUUACAUCCCACGUAAAGGGCUUUUCUUUGAGCAUGACCUGCGAGGGCAGACGCAGGAGGAGGAGGUCAGGCCAAAAGGUCGUCAGCGGAAGCUGUGGAAGGAUGAGGGCCGCUGGGAGCACGACAAAUUCCGGGAGGAUGAGCAGGCCCCCAAAACCAGGCAGGAGCUGAUUGCGCUUUAUGGGUAUGAUAUCAGGUCAGCUCACAACCCAGACGACAUCAAGCCGAGGAGGAUGCGCAAACCGAGGUUUGGGAGUCCUCAGCGAGACCCAAACUGGUCCAACGAGAGGCCAAAUAAGCCCCCAAGGCACCAGGGUCCAGACAGCACUUCUGCUCCUCCACGAACCUUCACCAACAGGAGCUCCGCGGGGACGGGGAGGAUGCCACCGCCUAGGAACUACCCGAGGAUGGGUGGCUACAAAGAGAGCCGUCCAGGCUACCGAACUUCAGAAGCAAGCGUCCAGCAUCUGUCUCGAAACGGUGAACAAACGAAACAUGAGAGCAGCUAUCGAGUGAAGCGUGCAGAGCAAACCCCACCGAGAGAUAAGUCACCCGAGAUGGAAGCGGCGCACGUCCACAGCAGCCCUGUGAAGGAGGAGAUUGCUUUGGAAAACCAAGCCGCUGCUGCUGACGCUACACAGCCACCACCAGACAGACCAAUUGAAAAGAAAUCUUAUUCCCGGGCAAGAAGGACCAGAAUCAAAGCUGGGGAUGCAGGGAAGCUGCCUGAUGAAGUACCCGCUUCGGAAGGGCUGACUCCUGUGCCUCCAAAACCCGCGCAAGCUGAGACGUCCCCCCCACCAGCCAAGAGCAGUAACUGGGAGUCGCCGGUAGAAUCCAACUUGGAUGGACUCGAGCAAGAGAUGACCCAAAUGAAUCUUGCCGAGCAGAACUGGACACCGGGGCAGUCUCAGUUCAUUCAGCCCCGGGAGCUGAGGGGUAUCCCUAACCAUAUGCACGUGGGAACUGGGCCACCGCCUCAGUUUAACAGGAUGGAGGAAAUGGCGGUGCAGGGGGGCCGUGUGAAACGCUACUCGUCGCAGCGGCAGAGACCACCGGUGCCGGAACCUGCUCCUCCCAUGCACAUCAGCAUCAUGGAAGGGCACUACUACGACCCACUCCAAUUCCAGGGACCAAUCUACACCCACAGUGAGAAUCCAGCCCCGCUACCACCCCAAGGGAUGAUCGUACAGCCAGAAAUGCACCUCCCUCAUCCAGGCUUACAUCCCCACCAGACGCCAGCCCCCAUGGCAAACCCUGGGCUGUACCCUCCGCCAGUCUCCAUGCCCCCAGGCCAGCCCCCACCGCAGCAGCUGCUUGCGCCGACUUACUUCUCCCCUCCUGGAGUCAUGAAUUUUGGGAAUCCUGGCUAUCCCUAUCCCCCAGGAGCACUACCCCCUCCGCCCCCUCCUCAUCUCUAUUCCAACACGCAGGCCCAGUCCCAGGUCUAUGGAGGAGUCACCUACUACAACACUGUCCAGCAGCAAGUGCAGCCCAAGCCUUCUCCGCCUCGAAGGACAUCCCAGCCUGUGACCAUCAAGCCACCGCCUCCCGAGCUUCUCGUUGCAGGUGGCAAGCAGGGCUCCAGUUAAUUUGAGUUUCUUAAUACUUUAAAACUAAACCCACGUAAAAAGUAAGUCUGAAGUUGGCUCUUGCUUUGUUUUUCUUUAUUUAUUCAGGUUAGAAACCAGAAUGCUUUAGAAAGGGAAAGAUCUAGUACUAAGCUAGGAGGCAGUGACUUCCCUGAAAGGAUAGAUGUUGAGACCUUAGCAGUAGAUAAUUCAGGCGAGAGACUUAAGGGCUUUCUGGAGACGAGAGCCAUUUCUCUGUGCUGGGAAGAGCUUCCUUGCUCCAGCGCCGUGAGCUCUGUGUGUGUGCCAGAGUGCCACGUGUGUGUUUGGUUUCCUUUUUAAUAUCUCGCUUAGCAGAUGGGAGCUGAGCGAGGCUGAAUCGCGGCAAGCCCGGACCCGGGCAGGCAUGUGCCGGUUGUUUCCCGGACAGCAAAGGUGAAAAAUCAAAGGAAAGAAGCAACACGUAGGGAUGCGGCCGUGGGAAACCCAACACCAGAUCCAACACCUCUGCAAGGAGGAAGCUCCUCGGGAAAGGCUCCUUCCCUGUGCGUAGGUGAGGCAGCGGGAUUAAUUCAGCUGCACCAUCUUGUGCAGGGCCAGGCACCUUCCCUCUCUGGUUUUACUGGUGCCCUCCCAAAAACCAUCUCGCCGCUGCCGAUCUGCCCUCCUUCCCCCUUCCUCCCCGGGACACAGAGGUCACCGAGGAAUCGUCCCCAGAGUCGGGCCUUGGCCACAAGUUCUCUCAACUUCUCUCUUUUGCCUGCCCUUUUCCCUUUCUAGGAUGUUCAGCUCAACUGGCUUGAUUGUGUUCUCUGUUUUUAUUUAAGAAAUGAACCAGCUCCCUCAGUAAAGCUGAUUUGUUUCUUUUG